AAGCCUUGCGCAGGGAGGUGUGAACGCAAGAUCCUCAGGUGAUUGUUCACUAGUGCAAUACUAUAUCCGGUACUCCUUCGGGGAAAGUUUGCUACCCACCACGGGUGGGA